rnacentral:lncRNA from 1 species
CCUGUGUGAUCGACGUGUCUUUCCGGUGCUACGAACAGUCCUUAUCGACGAUGUUUGACCUUUCCUGGUAUUACCUACCAUGUAAAACGACUUAUUUGCAGAAAAAUAAACCACAAGUGACAUUUUUCACCGUGGUUUCCUUGGGCUUUGUGACCAUCUUCGGCUGUGGUGUUAUGGUUCACAACAGUUCCAAAACCAGACUGGGUGUUGGUAAUACGCAUCAGAAAGAUUUCAUGUCUCUAAGUGUAUUUAGGUAAGUAAAUAAAAUUCAUUGAUAAGAAAUGGCUUCUAAAUUACUAGAGCUAAAUGACAAGAAUCUCAGCCCAUUCUUAAUUUUAAUUCAG